AAGGCUUUAAGUUAAUUAAACUAAUAGUCUUCAAAACUAUUUAUAUUAGUAUAAAUCUUUUAAGCUUUA
rnacentral:tRNA from 1 species